AUUCUUCCUGAGGAUGCUACCCCUUUAAGGUGGCUAUGUACAUACUCUGGUUGUUGUGCGUUUGCUCACUUUCACAGCAAGCUACUUCUUCCGGAAGCCAACACAAGGCAAAAGAGGCGCAUGUUGCAGAGAGAGGGAAACUCAUUGCUGACCUUGGUAAGUUUCAUAACCCUCUCCCUGUUAUAAACCUUGUUCCUUGUUCCACCAGGAGAUGGAACUUCCCUGAUCCACGCAUCCUCCUGACCUGACACUACGCAUCCAACUCCCACUGUCUCCCUCUCCCACGUCUCCCUCUGCCCUUCAACUUUCAGAUGGUCACCACCAGCUGCCUGCCUCUGCCUCUACACUCUUGCUCACGAUUGCAUCCUGGCCCAUGACUCUUAUUUGCCUCUCCACAUUGCCAUGACCCCCACAAUCAUUUCCCACUUCUUCACCAACAUUGACCCUUGCCAACUCCAUGCACAUCCACAUCCCUACACUUACACAAAACAAGGACAUUCCAACACAAAACCAUUUGUUUCCAGUUAAGCUUGAGCGUUUCUAUAUAAAUUCAAAGGCUGAGAUCAUAACAUUCUGGCACUAACACAGAAUGAGAUCAUGGUCAUGUUGAAGGAUCACAUUUAGUAUCAGAGGCAAGUAUGUUGUAGAACCAAUGCCAAGAUUUCAGUUCUCUACUCACAAACUUUACUCCUAUAUUGACUUCUUGCUAGAACUC